GAUGAACGCUGGCGGCAUGCUUUACACAUGCAAGUCGGACGGGAAGUGGUGUUUCCAGUGGCGGUCGGGUGAGUAACGCGUAAGAACCUGCCCUUGGGAGGGGAACAACAGCUGGAAACGGCUGCUAAUACCCCGUAGGCUGAGGAGCGAAAGGAGGAAUCCGCCCAAGGAGGGGCUCGCGUCUGAUUAGCUAGUUGGUGAGGUAAUAGCUUACCAAGGCCGUGAUCAGUAGCUGGUCCGAGAGGAUGAUCGGCCACACUGGGACUGAGACAAGGCCCAGACUCCUACGGGAGGCAGCAGUGGGGAAGUUUCCGCAAUGGGCGAAAGCCUGACGGGGCAAUGCCGCGUGGAGGUAAAAGGCCUACGGGUCAUGAACUUCUUUUCCUGGAGAAGAAACAAUGACGGUAUCUGGGGAAUAAGCAUCGGCUAACUCUGUG
rnacentral:rRNA from 1 species